rnacentral:rRNA from 1 species
GAUGAACGCUGGCGGCGUGCCCAAUACAUGCAAGUCGAGCGAACGGACGAGAAGCUUGCUUCUCUGAUGUUAGCGGCGGACGGGUGAGUAACACGUGGAUAACCUACCUAUAAGACUGGGAUAACUUCGGGAAACCGGAGCUAAUACCGGAUGAUAUUUUGAACCGCAUGGUUCAAAAAUGAAAGACGGUCUUGCUGUCACUUAUAGAUGGAUCCGCGCUGCAUUAGCUAGUUGGUAAGGUAACGGCUUACCAAGGCAACGAUGCAUAGCCGACCUGAGAGGGUGAUCGGCCACACUGGAACUGAGACACGGUCCAGACUCCUACGGGAGGCAGCAGUAGGGAAUCUUCCGCAAUGGGCGAAAGCCUGACGGAGCAACGCCGCGUGAGUGAUGAAGGUCUUCGGAUCGUAAAACUCUGUUAUUAGGGAAGAACAUAUGUGUAAGUAACUGUGCACAUCUUGACGGUACCUAAUCAGAAAGCCACGGCUAACUACGUG